UAAUUGUUUGUCUUCCUUCCUGC
rnacentral:piRNA from 1 species